GCUUGAAGUCAGAUCUGACCCUCGAAGUUGACACUCCAGCCUCUUUGACUCUCAGGUCUUUGAAAGAAAAGGGAAAGGUCCAUCAUGACUUUAUUCCAGAGUGAAUUUCUUUAGUUUUCAGAAGCCACUUUACCAUAAAUAGAUGUGCCUUGGGGGCCGGGCACAGUGGCUCACGCUUGUAAUCCCAGCACUUUGGGAGGCCGAGGCGGGCAGAUCACGAGGUCAGGAAAUCGAGACCAUCCUGGCUAACACGAAGAAACCCCAUCUCUACUAAAAAUACAAAAAAUUAGCCGGGUGUGGUGGCGGGCGUCUGUAGUCCCAGCUACUUGGGAGGCUGAGGCAAGAGAACGGCGUGAACCCGGGAGGCGGAGCUUGCAGUGAGCCGAGAUAGCGCCACUGCACUCCAGCCUGGGUGACAGAGCGAGACUCCAUCUCAAAAUAAAUAAAUAAAAUAAAAUAAUUAGCCAGGCGAGGUGGCGGGCACCUGUAGUCCCAGCUACUCGGGAGGCUGAGGCAGGAGAAUGGCGUGAACCCGGGAGGCGCAGCUUGCGGUGAGCCGAGAUUGCGCCACUGCACUCCAGCCUGGGCAACAGAGUGAGACUCUGUCUCAAAAAAAAAAAAAAAAAAGAUAUGACUUGGGAAGUGAAAUUCUCUAAUCUGAAACUUUAUUGCAAAAAUUGUGGGCAUCUAGGAGAACUGGAGUUGUGAGCAGGUCAGAAGAGAAACUUUGCUGCUUCCUUUGUCAAUGCUGUAUGGAGAGAAAUUUGAGAUGCUUUGGAUAUUAAAAGAAAGACUGGAAGGCAGAAGAUACUGAAUUAACCACACCAAUGAAGAGCGCAUGUCUUUGCAGCUCUUCUCACCAAGAAUUGGAGUCUAUUUUCUCAACUCAUUAAAUCUGAGCUGGCUGUGUGACUUGCUUUGGCCAAAAAGACUUUAGCAAAUAAGAUAUAAGCACAAGCAGAGGUUUGAAAAGUGCUGGUUCGCUGGGGCUUACUGUAUUACUGCUCUUGAAAUGCUGAGAUGACCAUGUGAAUGAAUCCAAGGAAGCCUCCUGGAAGAUGAGAAUGCUGCAUAGAAGAAAACAGAGGUCUCCAGCUGACAGCCUGCCAAACACUAGAAAUGUGAAUGAGGCCAUUCUGGAUCAUCUUGUCACCAGCUGACCUCCCAGCUGACUAUCAGUGCAUGAGCAAACCCAGAAAAGAUGAGCUGAGCCAGUCCAGUGUAGAAGAAUUGCCCAGCCAACCCACAGAAUAAUGAGCUGAAUAAAAUGUUGUUUUAAGCCAUUAAGUUUGUGAUGUUUUAUUACUCAGUAAUAGCUAACUGGUACUGAAUGUUAUAAUUACUGCAGAGAAAAAUAGAGCACAGAGGGAGGAAGUAGAAGUGUAUAUGUGUAUGCAUGUGUGUAGAGGAGGGGCUGUUGAAAUUUUAAAUAACUUUGUCAGGGAAGGCCUUGUUGAGAAGAUACAUUUGAACAAACAUUUGAAGGAGAUUUAAGUAAUUCAUGUGGUUAUUUAAGAGAAGAACAUGGUAGGCAAAAGGAAUGGCAAGUGGAAAUUUCCUGAGCCAUAGCAUGUCUGGCUCUUUUUGAAGGAAAGCAAAGAAGUCAGAGUGCUGGAGCACUAUAAAAGAUGAGGGCAGAGGGCCGGGUGCGGUGGCUCAUGUCCAUAAUCCCAGCACUUUGUGAGGCCGA
rnacentral:lncRNA from 1 species